rnacentral:rRNA from 1 species
ACGGAAGGCAGCAGUGAGGAGUAUUGGUCAAUGGGCGGAAGCCUGAACCAGCCAAGUCGCGUGAAGGAAGAAGGUAUUAUGUAUUGUAAACUUCUUUAGCAGCAGAGAAAUAAGGUGGACGUGUCCACUGAUGCUAGUAUGCUGAGAAUAAGCAUCGGCUAACUCCGUGCCAGCAGCCGCGGUAACACGGAGGAUGCGAGCGUUAUCCGGAUUUAUUGGGUUUAAAGGGUGCGCAGGCGGUCUUUUAAGUCAGUGGUCAAAUCGUGGUGCUCAACGCCAUCCCGCCAUUGAUACUGGGAGACUUGGUUGCGGUUGAGGUAGGCGGAAUUCGUCGUGUAGCGGUGAAAUGCAUAGAUAUGACGAAGAACACCGAUUGCGUAGGCAGCUUACCAAGCCGUAAAUGACGCUCAUGCACGAAAGUGCGGGGAUCGAACAGGAUUAGAUACCCUGGUA